ensembl:lncRNA
GUAAUAUGCAUGGCCCAGGUCACAUAGCUGGAAUACCUAGCAGCUUUCCCCCUGUUGCCAUGGAGACCCUGGAGAGGGGAAGAGGAGCAAAGUCCUUUCUGGUAUCUUCCAGCAGCUCCCAGCAUCCUUUCAUGUUGGCCUGGGCCUUUUCUUCAGCUGCAAACACCCACACUGGACCUCCAGGAGAGGGAAAUGUGCAGCUGACCUCUGGGGGCCCCGGGCUGAGGGUGAUAUAUGCCACAGAGGAGGAGGACGUUGGCGCUUCCUCAAGGCUGCUGAGCAGACCUGCCAUGAAGAAAAUUAUGAGGACCCGCCAACAUGGGCCGCGUUCACACCCAAACCAUGAAGAAGGCAGUCCGGGUCAUCAUAGAAAAGUACUACACGUGCCUGGGCAACGACUGCCACACGGACAAGCACGUGUGUGAGGAGAUCACCAUUAUCCCCAGCAAGAAGCUCCACAACAAGAUAGCAGGCUAUGUCACGCAUCUGAUGAAGUGGAUUCGGAGGGACGCAGUAAGAGGUAUCUCCAUCAAGCUGCAGGAGGAGGAGGGAGAAAAAAGAGACAAUCAUGUUCCCGAGGUCUCAGCCCUGGAUCAGGAGAUCAUUGAAGUAGAUCCUGAUGCUAAGAAAAUGCUUUUGGACUCCAGCAUUUGGCAGUCUGUCCAACCUGCAGGUCAGUCAGUCUACAGGUGACAUGACUUUCAAAACGCCUCAGGGAUCUGUUUGAAUCUUUCUGCAAUACUGUAAUAUUUUCAAGAAACCUAGGACAACGGCACAAAACAAACGAACAAAAAUAAACCUCUGAUUGGUUUGGUGGGGUUAGGGCCUGAGGCAAGAGGGCACUCGUGCCUUGCUCCCCAAGCUGUAGCGUAGGCAGACAGUGAGGCCCUUAGAGAGGCACACACGAUGUCAGAGCAAUAGUCACUGUAGCUCCAUGAGUUACUCGAGGACUGCCUCACAGUGUCCCAGCAGCCUGAGGUCCAGAGAUCUGAUGCAGAGAAGGGAGAAACAUUGUGAGCGGGCUAGAAACCUUAGAGGUCUUGGGUUAAGAUGAGGACGAGGCAGACUGGCUUGCCUCAUGUUCAGAAGCCUUGGCAGUGUUGCAGGCGUCUGUUACUGGAAAGGGGUCUCGAUCCAGACCCCAAGAGAGGGUUCUUGGAUCUUGUGCAAGAAAGAAUUCGAGGCAAAUCCAUAAAGUGAAAGCAAGUUUAUUAAGAAGGUAAAGGAAUAAAAGAAUGACUAAUCCAUAGGCAGAGCAGCCCUGAGGUCUGCUGGUUGGCUGUUUCUUGAUUAUAUGCUAAACAGGGGUGGACUUUUCAUGAGUUUUCCGGGAAGGGUGAGCAAUUCCUGGAACUGAGAGUUCCACCCCUUUUUAGACCAUAUAGGGUAGCUUCUGGGCAUUGGCAUGGCAUUUAUUAACUGUCAAGGUGCUGGUGUGAUUGUCUUGUAGCAUGCAAAUGCAUUAUAAUUAGUGUAUAAUGAGCAGUGAGGACGACUAGAGGUCACUUUCAUCAUCAUCUUGGGUUUGGUAGGUUUUGGCCAGCUUCUCUACUGCAUCCUUCUAUUAGCAACGUCUUUGUGACCUGUACCUUGUGCUUACCUACUAUCUCAUCCAGUGAGUAAGAAUGCCUAACCUCCUGGGAAUGCAGCCCAGUAGGUCUCAGCCUUAUUUUACCCAGCCCCUAUUCAAGAUGGAGUCGCUCUGGUUCACGUGCCUCUGACACAUCCACCACAAAGGUAGAGAGGAAAGAGCCACGUGGCUGUGAUGGCUUGCAGAUGAGAAGACAGCCCUGGGACAAAGGUAACUUCCAGUGCCUCUCUUUGUUAUGGGGCACUUAACUGCUCUUGGCCAGGCACUGUGGCUCACGCCUGUAAUUCCAGCAUUUGGGAGGCUGAGGUGGUCAGAUCAUUUGAGGUCAGGAGUUCGAGACCAGCCUAGCCAGCAUGGUGAAACCCCAUCUCUACUAAAAAUACAAAAAUGAGCCGGGCGUGGUGGCGCAUGCCGGUAUUCCCAGCUACUUGGUAGGCUGAGGUGGGAGAAUCACUUGAACCUGGGAGGCGGAGGUUGCAGUGAUCUGAGAUCUUGCCAUUGCACUCUGUAGCCCGGGUGACAGAGUGAGACUUCAUCUCAAAACAAAAACAACCAAAAAAAAACUAUUCUUUUUACCCACUUCAUUACCCGAAACUUAGAUGUACUGUCCCAUCCCUAUCCCAAGGGGUGGAACUUGGAAUUAACCAAGUAUUCUCUCCUCAAAAAAUGGGGGAGAGCUACACUCAAAGUGAGUUGAAUGGACAACAUUAAAUUUUCUACUAUUGGUGGAAGUGGGGGCUUGAGAGUUAAGUUAGUUAUGAGGAAAUAAAGAUAUAUUUCUGCACUCUUUAGGUUGUGAUCCUUUCAGUUAGGAUAGGCUAGAUUAUGCUGCAGUAUCAGAUAAUCCCCAACUCUCAGGCAUAUAACAUAUCUACCAUGGGGCAGCUGAGGCUUGGUUUGAAAUCAUCCUCACUUCAAGACCUAUGCUGAUGGAGCUGGAACUUGCCUUUUUGCAGAAGGAAAGAGAGCUCUGGAGAGUCUCCUGUUAGUGAUUAAAUGCCCCAGUUCAGAGGUGACACACAUCACUUCUAUUAUUUCCACUCAAAACAUACUGACUUGUAUCAGCCACAGUGUCCCACUCAGGAGGGGGCUGGAAAAUAUUGUCUUUCUCUAUGUUCAGAAGGUGGCAAUCCAAAAAUAUUUGAUAAACAGUGCUAAUGACUACCCUAGUAGCUGUAAAAGUCUUACCCAUUUCAUUAUUUAGGACUUCAGAACAAAAACAAAACAAACAAACAAAAAAGCAAGAUAUAUAAAGUGCUGUGGUUUAGAUGUGGUUUGUCUCUGACAAAACUCAUGCUGAAAUCUAAUUGCCAAUGUAGCAGUGUUGGGAGAUGGUGCCUUUAAAAGGUGAUUAGGUGGUUAAGAUAGGUUAAUGUAUUUCUCCCAAGACAGGGUUAGUUCUACUGGG